rnacentral:rRNA from 1 species
AACGAACGCUGGCGGCGUGCCUAACACAUGCAAGUCGUGCGAGAAAGUUCCUUCGGGAGCGAGUAAAGCGGCGCACGGGUGAGUAACACGUAGGUAACCUGCCCCCCAGUCUGGAACAACUAGAGGAAACUCUAGCUAAUGCCGGAUGAGACCACGAUCCCUUCGGGGGUUGCGGCCAAAGAUGGCCUCUACUUGUAAGCUAUCGCUGAGGGAUGGGCCUGCGGGCCAUUAGCUUGUUGGUGAGGUAACGGCUCACCAAGGCUGUGAUGGCUAGCUGGUCUGAGAGGAUGACCAGCCACACUGGGACUGAGACACGGCCCAGACUCCUACGGGAGGCAGCAGUGGGGAAUAUUGCGCAAUGGGCGAAAGACCUGACGCAGCGACGCCGCGUGGGUGAUGAAGG